rnacentral:tRNA from 1 species
GGGUGUGUAGCUCAGCUGGUAGAGCAGCGGCCUCCAAAGCCGAAGGUCGGGGGUUCGAUCCCCUCCGCACUCG